rnacentral:rRNA from 1 species
UACGUAGGGGGCAAGCGUUGUCCGGAUUUACUGGGCGGAAAGAGCGCGCAGGCGGUCGAUCAAGUCGAGUGUGAAAGCCCCCGGCUCAACUGGGGAGGGUCAUUCGAUACUGAUCGACUCGAAGGCAGGAGAGGGUAGUGGAAUUCCCGGUGUAGUGGUGAAAUGCGUAGAUAUCGGGAGGAACACCAGUGGCGAAGGCGACUACCUGGCCUGUUCUUGACGCUGAGGCGCGAAAGCUAGGGGAGCAAACGGG